ACGCAGCUGAUGAGUCCCGAAUAGGAGAAAACGCGCGUCCUAUAU
rnacentral:hammerhead_ribozyme from 1 species